rnacentral:rRNA from 1 species
GACGAACGCUGGCGGCGUGCUCAACACAUGCAAGUCGAACGGUAAGGCCCUUCGGGGUACACGAGUGGCGAACGGGUGAGUAACACGUGGGUGAUCUGCCCUGCACUUCGGGAUAAGCCUGGGAAACUGGGUCUAAUACCGGAUAGGACCACUGCCUGCAUGGGUGGUGGUGGAACGCUUUUGCGGUGUGGGAUGGGCCCGCGGCCUAUCAGCUGGUUGGUGGGGUGAUGGCCUACCAAGGCGACGACGGGUAGCCGGCCUGAGAGGGUGACCGGCCACACUGGGACUGGGAUACGGCCCAGACUCCUACGGGAGGCAGCAGUGGGGAAUAUUGCACAAUGGGCGCAAGCCUGAUGCAGCGACGCCGCGUGAGGGAUGACGGCCUUCGGGUUGUAAACCUCUUUCAGCACCGACGAAGCGCAAGUGACGGUAGGUGCAGAAGAAGGACCGGCCAACUACGUGCCAGCCGCCGCGGUAA